CGGGCAGCUCAGCAGCCACAAGGUCAUGGCUGGGUUUGGCAUGAAAUGCUCACACUCGGAGUGAAAAUAGGCCUCUGAAGAAGGAUGAAGCAACAGCCAAGAAAGAACCACUUUGCAAACAGACUUCCGAGGAGAAUGAGCCUCUUGAAAUCCUCUGUGCAAAAGUUCACACCAUAAAACAGCUGCUGCUUAAUGUCUCCGGCUUCUAAUGAGCCCCGAGCUCCCGGUUUGCACAGAACUUCCUGGCGAAUGGUGUCCAAGGUCCUUUGCUCUUCCCCGCGCCGUUCAAUCCCCAGAGAAGCAGGAGGUGGCAGCAUGAGAAGUCAUUCCUCCAAGGCGAAUCGUGCUGGCUGGCUGGCUUUCUGCACUCCCACAUAACUGACCACGGUCCUUUCUGAUUCACCCAUGGAGCACAAGGACAGAAGCCAAAGGGUUUGUCUCUGCUUCCUGGGAUGUUGAUUCCUGCCCUGAUGGAGCCCAGGAGAUUUACGCCUCCUCCCCACCCAUCCUCACCCUCACGUCCAACUACCCCACCCUCCUUCCCCAGUGUUUCUGAGCUCUAAGGCACACAGGGCUGCAUUACAAAAGUACUCAACUAAAAGGUGUAUAUUUUGCAUCCCACACCUUCCAAGAAUAUGCUGAAACUCCUCUCCACAAAAAGACACAGCUGUGGUCAACAGUCCCUAGGCUCCCCAAAACAGCAUGUCCUCCACACUCAGCAACCAGGCCUCUGCUUUCUCUUCUGGAGUGGGAAGGAAGGAAAGGAAUAUGAGAAGGCAGGGUAGAAGAGCUGUAGCCCACCCCUACUCAGCCGGCUGGAAAGCUCCAAUUUGUUAACCUAGAAAACCCUGGGGCAUUGCAAUCAAAGAGUGGCUCCACCCAAGCAAAUAACUCGGAUUAUUUUUUUCCCUACUAGUGGGCAAGAAGAGAAAAGGGAAAAUAAGGACAAAUGUGUUCAAAACAGAAAUACUGCAUAACACUAACUUGGCUUUGGGCAAGGACCAGAUUAUAGGCCCAACACCUCCAUUUCUGUCCAAGUGGAAAGAGAAACUACAGGGUGCAACCUUAAUCCAGCUGCAUGAACUCUGUUGCCCAGAGACUCUGCCAGCCCAAGAAGAUCAACAUAAC
rnacentral:lncRNA from 1 species